rnacentral:rRNA from 1 species
AGAGUUUGAUCCUGGCUCAGAACGAACGCUGGUAGCGUGGAUUAGGCAUGCAAGUCGAACGGGAUCGGACGGAUAGCAAUAUUCGUCCGUGAGAGUGGCGGAUUGGGGAGGAACACGUGAGCAACCUGCCUUUGAGUCGGGGAAAACCGGUGGAAACGCCGGCUAAUACCGGAUGUGGCGCCGGGUGACAUCAUCCGAGCGCUAAAGGGGGCCGCAAGGCUCUCGCUCUUAGAGGGGCUCGCGCAUCAUCAGCUUGUUGGCGGGGUAACGGCCCACCAAGGCUUACGAUUAGCUGGUCUGAGAGGAUGACCAGCCCCACUGGGACUGAGAUACUGCCCAGACUCCUACGGGAGGCUGCAGUCGAGGAUCAUUUGCAAUGGGCGAAAGCCUGACAAUGCGACGCUGCGUGGAGGAUGAAGGCCUUCGGGUUGUAAACUCCUGUCAUAAGGGAACAGGCGAUCCGACCUAAUACGUCGGUGAGUUGAGUGUACUUUAAGAGGAAUUGGCGGCUAACUCUGUGCCAGCAGCCGCGGUAAUACAGAGGCCAAGAGCGUUGUUCGGAUUUACUGGGCGUAAAGGGCGCGUAGGCGGCAAGGCGUGUCGGAUGUGAAAUCUCCGGGCUCAACCCGGAAAGUGCGUCCGAAACUACCUUGCUCGAGUCUGGGAGAGGUGAGUGGAAUUCCCAGUGUAGCGGUGAAAUGCGUAGAUAUUGGGAGGAACACCAGAGGCGAAGGCGGCUCACUGGACGAUUACUGACGUUGAGGCUCGAAAGCGUGGGGAGCAAACAGGAUUAGAUACCCUGGUAGUCCGACCCUUAACGGGGGCACACUAGAGGGGGGAGCGGGUGGCGGCCAGUCUCUUAGGCUGAGGCGAUAAGUGUGCCGCCUGGGGAGUACGGCCGCAAGGCUAAAACUCAAAGAAAUUGGCGGGGGCCCGCACAAGCAGAGGAGCAUGUGGCUUAAUUCGAUGCAACGCGAAGAACCUUACCUGGAUUUGACAUACAGCUGCAAGGGGGUAGGAAAGUAUCCCGCCUUCGAGGGUGCUGUACAGGUGCGGCAUGGCUGUCGUCAGUUCGUGCCGUGAGGUGUUUGGUUAAGUCCACCAACGAACGCAACCCCUAUCGCAUGUUGCCAGCGGGUCAAGCCGGGAACUCGUGCGAGACUGCUCGUUUACGCGAGAGGAAGGUGGGGAUGACGUCAAGUCAGUAUGGCCCUUACAUCCAGGGCUGCACACGUGCUACAAUGGCCGGUACAGAGGGAUCCCAAGCCGCGAGGCGGAGGCAACCCCCCAGAGCCGGCCCCAGUUCAGAUAGGGGUCUGCAACCCGACCCCGUGAAGUCGGAUUUGCUAGUAACGGCGUAUCAGCUACGACGCCGGGAAUGC